GACGAACGCUGGCGGCGUGCCUAAUACAUGCAAGUAGAACGCACAGUUUAUACCGUAGCUUGCUACACCAUAAACUGUGAGUUGCGAACGGGUGAGUAACGCGUAGGUAACCUGCCUGGUAGCGGGGGAUAACUAUUGGAAACGAUAGCUAAUACCGCAUAAUAUUGAUUAUUGCAUGAUAAUUGAUUGAAAGAUGCUAUUGCAUCACUACCAGAUGGACCUGCGUUGUAUUAGCUAGUAGGUGAGGUAACGGCUCACCUAGGCGACGAUACAUAGCCGACCUGCGAGGGUGAUCGGCCACCCUGGGACUGAGACACGGCCCAGACUCCUACGGGAGGCAGCAGUAGGGAAUCUUCGGCAAUGGACGAAAGUCUGACCGAGCAACGCCGCGUGAGUGAAGAAGGUUUUCGGAUCGUAAAGCUCUGUUGUAAGAGAAGAACGGGUGCGAGAGUGGAAAGUUCACACUGUGACGGUAUCUUACCAGAAAGGGACGGCUAACUACGUG
rnacentral:rRNA from 1 species